rnacentral:lncRNA from 1 species
UACCGAGGAUCUGAGCCCGUAUGACUCAUUUGCGAGCCAUUCCUGUCGUCUGGAUGCCAUAACAUUGGAGGAAUGAUGAUCGUUUCUUGGAGAUUCUUCUGUGGCCAGAGUUGCCAAGACCAAGGCUGUAAUGGUGCCAUGAAGUCUGCAGAACAAGUUCAUCCACUGCAUGCCACUUGAUCCUCCUGAUGAUCCAGUGAGGUGGAUGGAUGGGAAAGCCUUCCGUAAGCUAUUUCAGUAUUAUAAUCACACUUGCCCUUAGUUGCAUAACUCAUGUCAAGGAGGUUUGAAAAAGUUAAGUAACACGUUAUAGGUGGUGGGUUAGAACAGAACUCAAGGCUUUUGACUUUGGCAACUUGCUGCUAAAAAUCUGUUGGCAGUGUAUGUGUAUAACUGAUUCACUUCACUAUAUCCCUGAAACUAACACAACAUUGUAAAUCAACUAUACUCCAAUAAAAAUUUAAAAAAUCUGUUGGCA